CCGUCGACACUCCCUUCUCCACAGUAGAGGGGGAAAGAUGGCGCCCACACACGUACUGAGAUGCUGUCAACGGGGCUUAGCAUGGAUACCUGUGAUUUUUAUCGCGCUCGUCGUCUGCUGGUCGUACUACGCUUACGUGGUGGAGCUUUGUAUAUUCACCAUCCCCAGCAUAGGAGAGCAGAUUGUCUACCUGAUCUUCUUCCACCUCUCAUUCGUCAUGUUUGUGUGGUCUUACUGGAAGACCAUCUUCACCAAGCCUGCUAACCCUUCCAAAGAGUUUUGCCUCCCCAAGGCUGAAAAGGAACGCUAUGAGAAGGAGGAGAGGCCAGAGUCCCAGCAAGAGAUCCUGUGGAGAGCUGCCAGCAGCCUCCCUCUGUACACCCGCACAGGCGCUGGCGCGAUCCGCUACUGCGACCGCUGUCAAGUUAUCAAGCCAGACAGAUGUCAUCACUGUUCAGCAUGUGACAUGUGUGUGCUAAAGAUGGAUCAUCACUGUCCCUGGGUGAACAACUGUGUGGGAUUCUCCAACUACAAGUUUUUCAUCCUCUUCCUGGCCUACUCGCUGGUGUACUGUUUGUUCAUUGCAGCCACCGUCCUGCAGUAUUUCAUUAAAUUCUGGACACUUUGCCGCAGGAAAUCGGCAGAAAACUGCCCAAAGAAUGAGCUGACAGACACGCCUGCCAAAUUCCACGUCUUGUUUCUUUUUUUUGUGGCCGCCAUGUUCUGCAUCAGUAUUUUGUCCCUCUUCAGCUACCACCUUUGGCUUGUAGGGAAGAACAGGUCGACAAUAGAGGCAUUCAGAGCACCAGUCUUUAGGACAGGCUCUGAUAAAAAUGGUUUCUCUCUGGGUUUCCGAAAGAAUAUUGCUCAGGUCUUUGGUGACCAGAAGAAGUACUGGCUGCUGCCCGUCUUCACAAGCCAGGGAGAUGGUCUGACGUUCCCCACCCGACUGGUCAACACCGACGUGGAGCAGGCCACAGUGACACUGCAGUCAGAGCCCAGUAAAAGCGCUGCUGACAUCACCGUGAGUCCACUCAGCGAGUCUCAGAAUCGCCUCCUGAGCAACGAGCAGCAUGCUAAUAACAUCGGAGACCAUCUGGCAAAUGACACCCUCAAAUCAGCUGAAAGCGAAACCAUUACAAUCUCAAUGGAGAGCGAGUCCUAACCAGGUAAUUGCAGUCAGCCACCUCUCAGCGAGUCUGUGGCUCUCGCUUAAUGGAGAAGCACCUCAGUCAUCUACUUCGAUGCCUUAAGCAAAGCUAGAGUUCAGUUUCUCAGCAGUCUGCCAGCAGAUGCCCAUUUAAAUACAUUCACAGUAACUAUGGAAAUGCAGUCAUUAUCACAGUCAUGUAUUCCGUGGCAUUAGCAUUUCCACAUGCAGUGUCAUGAACGCAUCUCACACCUCUCUUCGUAAGACAUGAGACAAGGUUGUUUGCAGUUAUGCGCAUACAUACACACACAUACUAACAGUAUACUGUAUUCAUAUUUCUGUUGCUUUUUUUUUUUAACCUCUCACAAUUGAAGUAUUUAUUGACGAGGACCGCAUUAAAGUGAAUCAGUGCUACUGCUGAAAGCCUCCCAGGUCCACCAAGACUUGGAGAUACAAAGCUGCAGUGAGGAGAGCCUGGAACAGCUUUUUUUGGUUUGUUUUUGGUUUUUUAGAGAGGCAGUACACGAUGUGGAGAUGCAUCGAUUUACCCUUGAGUCUCAUGUUGUCUCAUUUUUUAACGAGUAUACGCGUAACAAUGAUUGACACCUCUUGAGAUGGAUGCUUCUCAACAAACCUGGACUAUCUUACAGAAGACUCCACCACACGGUGAAUCCGUGCACAAGGAAACUCUAGCCAGGUUUUGGGUAGACUUUUUGUUUUUGUUUUUUUGUUUUUUUUUAAUCCAUCAGAGCACAAGAUGGCACAUUUGCACUUUGUAGAUUAUCCAUCAAAGAAAAAAGUGCUGCUUUUUUUUUUUUUUUUUAAAUUUAAACAAAAAAAAGGUGUUAUCGAUGUUGCUCGAUCAUUUGAUUUUUUUCUCCUUUUUUUUUAAUAUAAUGUAUUGUGUGUGUGUCUGUGUGAGAAAGAGAGAGAUUGUGUGUAACAGUUGAAGUGGCAGUAAGUUUUCUUCUUUCCUACUAACAGACUAAAAGAAUCAGCUUUAUAUGUGUUUUUUUAUGGCCCGCUUGUGUCAAAGGAAAAAAAACAAAACCUGCUGCUUUGACUGGACGGUUUAACUUUGGAGGUGAAGCUCGCUCACUAUUUGUUCUUUAAGAGGCUGAUCCAUGAUUCUUAGCCCGCAAUGUGCACAGCCUGUUUUUCUACAACUCAGUGCUUCAACCUUUACAAAGAACACCAACACUCUGCCAAAUAAGGGCUGGCCUGUCAGGAGCUCUGACCUCCGAACCUGAAGUGUUUACAGCAUAUUAGCUUUAUCCUAACCUCACUGGCCAAUCUCAUCAUAACCAAAUUGAAUUCAACAGUAGUCGUGGCGCAAUAUUUUGUACAUUUGUCGCUCCGACCUGCUGAGGGUCAUGAUGUCCGUGCAAUACCAGUGCUGGCCAGCAGGUGGAGACAAGAGUCCUGUUUGUCCACUCAUUCAGCUAAAUGUCUUUUCUUUGUGUGUGUGUGUGUGUGUGUGUGUUUGAUAUCACUACAUCACUUCCUCGGGGCUCACUUCACUUUCAGGUUAAAUCGCUUUCUUAAUAUCCUUUAAUAUGCAUUAAAUUCCUGUAAUAACUCAUCUGGAUUUAAUUUGAAAGUGAAUUGAACCCCUCUGAUAGAGCUACAGCCUCUGCUCACCUUGUUGCUGUAGACAUGUGUGGAUGUCUGUAUUUUGGAAUCGGCUCAUUGUUGUGAUCUUGAGCGUGAGCUUGUUUAAUUCCUGUGCCGUGUCAGUGUGUAACAUCUGGGAAUUUACUCACGGGGUCUGCGGAAAUCUGUAAGGAAAGUGUAUUUAAUACCCAGAAGACAGUGUUGCUCACAUUUGUCAGCAUGACCAAAUAACAAUUGUUCAGGAGUGAGUUCCUUUUCCAAGAAAUGUUAUUGUUUAAGUGCAGCAUUGUAAGGCGAUGCAGCAAAGUCCUGAUGUCUGCCAUUCCUCACACCUCUGAUCACAUCCCGGAGUGUUGCUGGAAAAGCCUCCUGCUGAAUAUAUCCAACCAGACACUGGUGGUUUACAAGUUUACAGCUGUUUCUAUCAUGUACAGCGUGUUAGUGUUAUCGUAACAUGUGCUGAAUGUAUCACAGACGGGACAGUAAAGGUAUGAGUGUUUU